GCGUGGGUGGCGGAGUGGUCAAUCGCACCUGACUGUAAAUCAGGCGCCCUUAGGGCUACGUAGGUUCGAAUCCUACCCCACGCACCA
rnacentral:tRNA from 1 species